GACGAACGCUGGCGGCGUGCUUAACACAUGCAAGUCGAACGGUGAAGCUCCAGCUUGCUGGAGUGGAUCAGUGGCGAACGGGUGAGUAACACGUGAGCAACCUGCCCCUGACUCUGGAAUAAGCGCUGGAAACGGCGUCUAAUACUGGAUACGAGAAGGGUCCGCAUGGGCACUUUCUGGAAAGUUUUUCGGUUGGGGAUGGUCUCGCGGCCUAUCAGCUUGUUGGUGAGGUAAUGGCUCACCAAGGCGACGACGGGUAGCCGGCCUGAGAGGGCGACCGGCCACACUGGGACUGAGACACGGACCAGACUCCUACGGGAGGCAGCAGUGGGGAAUAUUGCACAAUGGGCGAAAGCCUGAUGCAGUGACGCCGCGUGAGGGAUGACGGCCUUCGGGUUGUAAACCUCUUUCAGCAGGGAAGAAGCGAAAGUGACGGUACCUGCAGAAGAAGCACCGGCUAACUACGUG
rnacentral:rRNA from 1 species